CUCCCUGUGGUGAAACCGGAUAUCACGAGUCCCUCCUAAGGUCUAAUUUCAGGUUCGAGUCCUGACGGGGAGGCCA
rnacentral:tRNA from 3 species